rnacentral:rRNA from 1 species
CCUACGGGAGGCAGCAGUAGGGAAUAUUCCACAAUGGGCGAAAGCCUGAUGGAGCAACGCCGCGGGGGUGAAGAAGGUCUUCGGAUCGUAAAACCCUGUUGUCAGAGAAGAAAGUGCGUGAGAGUAACUGUUCACGUUUCGACGGUAUCUAAACAGGAAGCAACGGCUAACUCCGUGCCAGCAGCCGCGGUAAUACGUAGGUGGCAAGCGUUAUCCGGAUUUAUUGGGCGUAAAGGGAACGCAGGCGGUCUUUUAAGUCUGAUGUGAAAGCCUUCGGCUUAACCGGAGGAGUGCAUUGGAAACGGGUAGCCUUGAGUGCAGGAGAGGAGAGUGGAACUCCAUGUGUAGCGGUGAAAUGCGUAGAUAUAUGGAAGAACACCAGUGGCGAAGGCGGCUCUCUGGUCUGUAACUGACGCUGAGGUUCGAAAGCGUGGGUAGCAAACAGGAUUAGAUACCCUUGUAGUC